GCUUUCAACAUCCCCGUUUCACGAGCGGAAAGCGCGCCUUGCGCGAACGACUCGGUGAGACUGAAGGC
rnacentral:sRNA from 1 species